AUACGUAGGGGGCGAGCGUUGUCCGGAAUGAUUGGGCGUAAAGGGCGCGUAGGCGGCGCGGUAAGUCUGGAGUGAAAGUCCUGUUUUCAAGAUGGGACUUGCUUUGGAUACUGGGGGGCUUGAGUGCAGGAGAGGUUAUCGGAAUUCCCGGUGUAGCGGUGAAAUGCGUAGAGAUCGGGAGGAACACCAGUGGCGAAGGCGGGUAACUGGACUGCAACUGACGCUGAGGCGCGAAAGUGUGGGGAGCAAACAGGAUUAGAUACCCUGGUAGUCCACACUGUAAACGAUGAAUGCUAGGUGUAAGAGGUAUCGACCCCUUUUGUGCCGGAGUCAACACAAUAAGCAUUCCGCCUGGGGAGUACGGCCGCAAGGUUGAAACUCAAAUGAAUUGGCGGGG
rnacentral:rRNA from 1 species